CCAGGGGAGAGGAGCUGGGCUGGGGAGGUGCUGCGGCUGCUGGCCCUGCUGUGCCCAGGGCAGGCAGGUUGCUAGGCUCCCCCUCCCUGCCCAUCGCCCCCUCUCACCCAUGGCUGUGGGCAAGGCUCUGGGCUGUGGCCUGCACGUGAGGUAAUGACAUAUCUUGGUACUCGUGGGCCUACAUUUCCAUGCCAACAUGGAGGUGGUUCAGUCAGCCCCUUUAGAAUUCAGUCAUGCAGAAAAAUCAUUUAAGAAAGUACCCACCAUCCUUUUGGACAGCCUCGUGGAGGAGCCUCACAAGGGAAAUGGUGUCCCCAAUCACCUGCUGGAGUCAAAGAUUUAUGCAAAACUUCUGAGAAACAAGGUCAUACAGGCUAAGCCUGCAGUAUUGCAUUAUGGAGGGUAUGAAAUCAAAAAACAUCACCAGCAGAUCCUGAAUCUGGUAAAUAUUUCUGGCGAUGUCAUAAAUCUUCACAUUAUACCACCCCAGACAAAAUACUUUCAGAUCAAAUACAACAAAACACAUCGGCUUGUCCCCGGCUUGUCAUUUGCAGUUACAGUUGAUUUUUGUCCUGAUGAGUGGCGAUAUUACUAUGACUGUAUCCGAAUUCACUGUCAGGGAGAUGACACUUUGCUUGUUCCUAUCCAUGGCUACCCUGCUGUGAAUGUUGUAGAAUUUCCAUCAUUUAUAAGCUUAUCAGAUGUUUCACUUGGACAGAGCAAGGAGUAUGUGAUCCCUUUGCAGUGCAGCUGUCCCAUAGAGUUUGAAUUCCAUAUCGAUUACAUUCAGCCUCACAAAGCCUUUACCAUUCAGCCAAUCUCAGGAAUAAUUCCAGGCAGUGGGAAAGUGGAUGUGGUUGUUAAAUAUGCACCAUUUGAAUAUGGAACAGCACAGAUGAAAAUGCAGUUGUGGAUUGCACAGUUUAACUCUAAACCCUAUGUAUGUGUAUUCACAGGAACAUCAACGCCCCAUGGGGGUUUAAUAAAGGAAGAAUUUAAAACACAUAAAACUCUCUCAGAGAAGAAAACAGUGUCACUAGGAAAACAAGUGGUACGGAGAAAAGACCAUUUAAAGCAUCCACAAUCCAGUCAAAUUCAGAAAGUAAAGGAGAUUGAAUACCAAAACCUGCGAUUCCCAGCAGAUUUGUCAAAUCCCUAUGCUGUGGCAACAGUUUUGAUUCAAGAGCCUGGCAAAUUAAAGAUUAAACAAUUGAAAGAAGUCCUGUACCAAGGUAAUGAAGGUGCAAAAACAAGACAGAUGAAGGAAGCUGUAUUUGAACUAAAAGUCAAACAAGAUAUUCAGGAAGAAGCAGCAAAUCAACUUAAGUGGCAAGUUCAUACAGGUAAAGAUCCAAUUUCUAUGAAAUUUAAGAGAGAGAUUAUCGAAGAACGACAGCAGGAAGAAGAGCAAUACAAGAUUGAAAGGGGAGAUCCCAUUAUAGAGAGAGAGUUUCAAAGGAAUACAGUGGAAGUUUCUUUCAGACGUUUUAUCCGGUCUGUCGAACAGUGUCCAAGUGUCCAGCCCAAGUUUGACCUCCUCCUUAACGACCCUUGGGCCAACAGACACAGGAUUCUAAGACGGUUUCAGCAAGCAGCUCGCCGGGUCCUGAUUCAGUGGCGGCUAAAUCGUGUAUUACUUUUGUUCCGUGGACUAGAGAGGGACAUCAAAGAGCAUAGUGAUGAAGAAAGCUCUGUAUCAGAAAACAGCAGUUUGAAAAUCAUCAGCUCAACAGCUAUGGAUGAAGAGCAUAAGAGCGUUGCUUUCAACUUGUCUGUAGAUCACAUAUUACCUUUCAGAUUCCCAACCUACCAUCCACCUCAGUGGUCUGAUGAACUGGCUCCCGAUGGUCUUGGUCCAGUUCCUGUCAAGUCUUUAGACAUGAAAGUCAAGCACAUUCACCCAUUCUACGACUUAAAGGUUCCUCAGCACUUCAGCAUUAUGGGGUACCAGCCAUUUUGUACACACUAUGCAUCAACAAGUUAUAAACCUCAAAAUCUUUCCCGACCAUUAAAGCAGGGAGCCAAGGAUGAGCUGAUCUCAAUAGUAACUUCUCCAAAGCCACAGCUCAGUCCUCCCUCGCCACAGGAGGAUCUACACGAACACCCAGGAGAGAAAUCCUUGGAAAGGGCCACGAGCUUUUUAAACCUGGCAGCUCCCAAAGCGUUACUCCAACCUCCAGACAGUCACUCACUUCGCAUAUUUAAUCCUAGUCCAGGAUUGUAUGUCUGUAUGCAGCCUUUGGACUAUUCAGAAACAAACAUUGAGUAUCAUCUUUGCCCUCAUCCAAAAUAUAGAUUCACCAAAGAAUAUCCCACAGGAUCCAGCAUUCCAAUUACACAAAAGAAAUUUCUGCAUCACAAGGAAGUCAUUCGAGGAGUAACGUACUGGAGACGAUUCCCAUCAGUGGUUUAUUCAGCCUUGUCUAAUGCUCCCACUCUGGCAAGCACAGUGAUGCAUCAUUGUAGUGAUCCCUACAAUUUAGAUAUGCUUCCAAUAGAGGUACCACCAAUGCUGGAUGACUUACCAGAGAGAGACAAGGAAAAUAUAAUUGGCUGUGAGACUGAAGCUGAGUUAAAAGUGGUUCUUACUCCAGAUAUGCUGAAAGCCGAAUUUCCACAGAUUGAACCAGGGGAAGAAGUCAAAAGUAAACUACUGAAAGAUGGAAGUGAUACACCCCUGGAUGUUAAACUUGCUUCCAGCAACAUAGUGGAUACCUCGGCUCCUCUUUCUGGAGACCCGAGAGACCAUCUGGAUUGGUAUUUACAAUCCCAGAAUAGCAAACUCAGAGAGAGACUGCAAGGACACAUGGAGAAAAUGAAGCAGAAAGCACUCAACAAAACCCUCAUUCUGGAAUAAGCUGGUUCACAAAUUCCACAACUCUGUCGCUAAUGUGCUGUAUCUCCACCCCACAGUAUUGCUGGUUCAGGACUUCUGUAUCUGUGCAGAACAGGAGAAUUCUGUAGACACCUAGUGGAUUUAGAACCUCACAAGAAGCUGAAGACCGAACAAAUGAGAGGGGAAGGGGAAGAAGAUGGAGGAAUUAUAUAUAUCUUGCAGGGGAAUCAUGUACAGCAGUACUUGGCCAUUAUGGCUGCAAAUCUGAGGACACCCACAAUACUGGUGUGGGCUGGCACCAAGAAGUUAAUUUUCUUUAAAAAAAUGUAUUGCUAGGACAAUUUAUAUUCUUCUAGCAACAGGAGAUGCACAGCAUUUUGGAAAUCAAGAAAUAAAAGGACAAAUUGAAAGCUGAGUUUACAGUGAUUCAUGAAAUAAAUCUGCAGAGCAGCCCAGCGUUUCUGAUGCAACUAACAAUGAAAAAUGGUAGUCACAAAAUAAUUUCGUACGCACUUUCCACAAGAGCUGCAAGUUAAAGUGUCCAGAGCUUGAGACAAAAUUUUUCAUUGUUUCCUAGAGGCUUUGAUGUUCACUUAACUAUCAGAACACUCCUUGUUAUGGAAGACUCAGACCACCACCAGUCAUCAGUAAUUUGGGCCAAAUUCUUCCCCCUGUAACCUCAGCGAAGUUUGACUCAGUUUAGUCGAUGCAGUGCUGGCAAUUCAGCACCAGUCCCCAACGUAAGCGAUGCAGCC